rnacentral:rRNA from 1 species
UACGUAGGGGGCUAGCGUUGUCCGGAUUUAUUGGGCGUAAAGAGCGUGUAGGCGGCCAGGUAGGUCUGCUGUGAAAACUCGAGGCUCAACCUCGAGACGUCGGCGGAAACCCAUCUGGCUAGAGUCCGGAAGAGGAGAGUGGAAUUCCCUGGUGUAGCGGUGAAAUGCGCAGAUAUCAGGAAGAACACCCGUGGCGAAGGCGGCUCUCGUGGGACGGUACUGACGCUGAG